UACGUAGGGGGCAAGCGUUGUCCGGAUUUAUUGGGCGUAAAGAGCGUGUAGGCGGCCAUACAGGUCAGCUGUGAAAACUCGAGGCUCAACCUCGAGACGUCGGUUGAAACCGUAUGGCUAGAGUCCGGAAGAGGAGAGUGGAAUUCCCGAUGUAGCGGUGAAAUGCGCAGAUAUCGGGAAGAACACCUAUGGCGAAGGCAGCUCUCUGGGACGGUACUGACGCUGAGACGCGAAAGCGUGGGGAGCAAACAGG
rnacentral:rRNA from 1 species